rnacentral:tRNA from 1 species
GGCUAGGUAACAUAAUGGCAAUGUAUCGGACUGCAAAUCCUGAAAAACUUCGAUUCGCCCGGCCA